rnacentral:tRNA from 1 species
AGCCUUGAGGUGUUGACACAUAAGAUUGCAAAUCUUAAGUAGCCAACUGACGUUGGCCGGGGCUU